GAAGGAAUAGAAGGAGGAAGAGGAAGAGGAGAACUUUAAGGUUUAUAAAACUCUUUAUAAACUGAUCUGAUCCUUACAACAAACCAUUUACAGAGAUUUCUUAGCCAUUAGCAUUCUUUCUCACCAAAUUUCAUAGCUUUUCAUCUUUUUCCCCCCAAAGCUGACCUUCUAAUUUGUAUGUACUUUUGCACAUCUUAUCUGCUUUUCUUAGACCGUAAGUAGAAUCUUAAGACUUGGUCAUGCCCUUAAAAUCUGUCUCUUCCAAUUUGCCCAGAACCCCUUUAAAACUCUGGAAUUGUUGGAAGGAUCCUGGUCAGGUGAAACCCCUUUAUCUCCUAAAGCAGUAGAUUCCACUUUAGAAUAGUCUCAGCUGUUAAGAAUUCUUUAUUUACACAGAGACAAUAUAUACCUCUCACUCUUAGGUUUGUUCCCUGGGCCAAGAUGUAGCGAUUCUUCCCAAUGGCAGCCCUUCAAAUAUUUGACAACAGGUGGGUGAGAAGUAACUUUUCCAGGUCGAUAAAAAGUUUGAAGUAGAACCAACACAAGGAUCUAGGCCCUCUGUUUCCAAAUUUUUCCUACAAAUGUCAGUAUUUUGCUCCCAUUUGCAUCUCCACACUAAAUGGACUCCGGCUAAUGAAACAUUAAUAAGAAGGCUAGCUUUAUUUAGUUUGAAAAAAAUAUAAAGAUCCACACCCAUAAGCAGAUUACUCCUCUUGUAUGAAACCGAGGCUAACAGUGUCAGUGAGUUCCUCAUCUAAGGUCACACAGCUAGAAAGUGCCAGAGGAUUUGAACCAUACAGCUUUCAAACAACAACAAUAAAAUAAACAAGCAAAA